rnacentral:ncRNA from 2 species
ACCUAAGGUAGAGGUGCUAUUUUCAAGAGUAAUUAUUAGGAACUAUACAAGAAGUUAUGAUUAAUAAUGAAAGGGGAAUUUAGCCGAAGAAAAUUUAAGCUUGUGAUUAGAUUUUCUGGUUAUAUAUAUAAGAUAUAUAUAAUUGUCACUUAAUUAAGUAUAAAAUUUCAUAACUUUAUGAUUUUUAUUUACUGUUUAAGUAUUUUAAGUGGAGAGCUACAAGGUAC